rnacentral:rRNA from 1 species
GAUGAACGCUGGCGGCGUGCUUAACACAUGCAAGUCGAACGGAAAGGCUCCUGCUUGCAGGGGUACUCGAGUGGCGAACGGGUGAGUAACACGUGGGUGAUCUGCCCUGCACUUCGGGAUAAGCCUGGGAAACUGGGUCUAAUACCGGAUAGGACCACAUUUUGGAUGGUGUGGUGGAAAGUUUUUCGGUGUGGGAUGAGCUCGCGGCCUAUCAGCUUGUUGGUGGGGUAAUGGCCUACCAAGGCGUCGACGGGUAGCCGGCCUGAGAGGGUGUACGGCCACAUUGGGACUGAGAUACGGCCCAGACGCCUACGGGAGGCAGCAGUGGGGAAUAUUGCACAAUGGGCGCAAGCCUGAUGCAGCGACGCCGCGUGGGGGAUGACGGCCUUCGGGUGGUAAACUCCUUUCGCUAGGGACGAAGCGCAAGUGACGGUACCUGGAGAAGAAGCACCGGCUAACUACGUG